AAUUGUAUUUGCUUCCGAUCACAUUGCAUUAUUGGUUACUAGGGGAGGCUAGGGAUAGCAAGCCGGUAAUUAGCAAUAGGCUCUUUUCACCAAGGGAUUCUGUUAAGGGUAAACUAGAAAGUUUGCAUGGCAAUUAGAUAAAUAAUUGAAGUAAAUAAGAAGAGUAGAUAUAUGAGAGUGGAUAAGAUGAAAUUGUAAACCCCAACAACACCAUUCAUCCAUAGUUU
rnacentral:lncRNA from 1 species